AACGCAUAUUGCGCCCUUUGGUAUUCCGAAGGGCAUGCCUGUUCGAGCGUCAUUAUCAACCAUCAAGCCUGGCUUGUCGUUGGACUUUUUUUGUCGCUCAUGUGACAGGUCCGAAAGACAAUGAACGGUGUCAUGGUGGCCCUAAAUGCAACGAGCUUUUUACAGCACGCAUCUAGUGGUUAGCAGGCCCGGUCUUAAUCCUUAAUUUUUCAAUGGUUGACCUCGGAUCAGGUGGGAACACCCGCUGAACUUAA
rnacentral:misc_RNA from 1 species